GACGAACGCUGGCGGCGUGCUUAACACAUGCAAGUCGAACAGUGGCGAACGGGUGAGUAACACGUGAGUAACCUGCCCUCCACUUUGGGAACACUCCGAGAAAUCGGGGCUAAUACUGUAUAGGGGGGGAUGGGCUCGCGGGCUAUCAGUUUGUUGGUGCGGUAGGGGUCACCAAGGCGUGACGGGUAGCCGGGCUGAGAGGGCGACCGGCCACACUGGUACGGAGAGACGGCCAAGUCGCCGACGGCAGGCAGCAGCGGGGAAGCUUACACAAUGGGUGAAAGCAUCAUGCAGCGAGGCAGAGUGGGAGAUGGCGUCCUUCGGGUUGUAAACCUCUUUCAGCAAGGAAGCGGUACUUGCAGAAGAAGCGCCGGCUAACUACGUGCCAGCAGCCGUGGUAAUAC
rnacentral:rRNA from 1 species